CUUAACACAUGCAAGUCGAACGAAGCGGCAGUGAAGGAGGCUUCGGCCAAUGGAUCUGUCGACUUAGUGGCGGACGGGUGAGUAACGCGUGAGCAACCUGCCUUUCAGAGGGGGAUAACGUUUGGAAACGAACGCUAAUACCGCAUAAUGUAAUUUCGCUGCAUGACGGAAUUACCAAAGGAGCAAUCCGCUGAGAGAUGGGCUCGCGUCCGAUUAGAUAGUUGGUGGGGUAACGGCCUACCAAGUCGACGAUCGGUAGCCGGACUGAGAGGUUGAACGGCCACAUUGGGACUGAGACACGGCCCAGACUCCUACGGGAGGCAGCAGUGGGGAAUAUUGCACAAUGGGCGCAAGCCUGAUGCAGCAACGCCGCGUGAGGGAAGACGGUUUUCGGAUUGUAAACCUCUGUCCUUGGUGAAGAUUAUGACGGUAGCCGAGGAGGAAGCCACGGCUAACUACGUGCC
rnacentral:rRNA from 1 species